rnacentral:rRNA from 1 species
CAGCAGCCGCGGUAAAACGGAGGGUGCAAGCGUUAAUCGGAAUUACUGGGCGUAAAGCGUGCGUAGGCGGUUCGUUAAGUCUGUUGUGAAAGCCCCGGGCUCAACCUGGGAAUGGCAAUGGAUACUGGCGAGCUAGAGUGUGUCAGAGGAUGGUGGAAUUCCCGGUGUAGCGGUGAAAUGCGUAGAGAUCGGGAGGAACAUCAGUGGCGAAGGCGGCCAUCUGGGACAACACUGACGCUGAGGCACGAAAGCGUGGGGAGCAAACAGGAUUAGAUACCCCUGUAGUCCCUGUCUCUUAUAA